GCAAGAUACAGACCAUCAAGGGAACGACUUCCCUCUUCUCUUGCUCUCUCUCGUCAAGUGUACUGGGGUACUGAGAGAGGGGCACAAGCAAGGACUUUCAUCCCACUUCUCCAACAUAUGUGUGCACAUUAAGGCAGAUUUACCUAGGGAGUAAGAUGCUCUUUGCCCAGUGGGCCUUUCCUCUGCGGUCAGUUUAUGAGUGAAAUUUCUAAGCAAGAUUGUUUCAGAAACCCCUAGGAAAAAGCCGCGCACGCAGUAAUCAUGAAAGACUGGCCUUCACCCGUGUUCUGGAACCCGAGGUUUGCUGCUGGAAGCCUCCAAAGUACUUAGUGUCUAUUGUUUCCCCUGUGUGAAACUUUCACUCCCACCUCUACUAAUACAAACAAGAAUUACUACUCUGAAA
rnacentral:lncRNA from 1 species